rnacentral:rRNA from 1 species
GAACUGAAGAGUUUGAUCCUGGCUCAGAUUGAACGCUGGCGGCAUGCCUUACACAUGCAAGUCGAACGGCAGCGC